GCACACACACACACACACACACACACACACACACAGCGGCUGAACUGGCUGUUUACUGAGCGACAAUUUUUCAUUUCUUCAAUCAGAUGGAAAAGAAACAUUCUCAGAACAGCGUGUCUUCGAGGGGAGGAAACACAGCAGGAAUUUCGGAUGCUAUGAAAGCUUGCAGCAGCACGAUGAAGGAUUCGAAGGGGAGCUUGGAGGCGAGCCACAGCAGCACUGAAUGGUACGCCCGAGGCUCGAUCACUGAGGGGGGUGGAGAGGUGUACUACCGUUCAGUGACUCAACACAUCAGCGUGAAAAAAAAAUAGCAAGAUCUCGGUGCAUUGAUAUAAAUUCCUAAAGGAAUUUCCUACUGCACUGUGACGAGAGCAAUAUGAAGUAAAAACAUUUUUCACUUGAUUUGUCU